rnacentral:rRNA from 1 species
AGUGAACGCUGGCGGUAGGCCUAACACAUGCAAGUCGAACGGCAGCACAGUAAGAGCUUGCUCUUACGGGUGGCGAGUGGCGGACGGGUGAGGAAUACAUCGGAAUCUACUUUUUCGUGGGGGAUAACGUAGGGAAACUUACGCUAAUACCGCAUACGACCUACGGGUGAAAGCAGGGGAUCUUCGGACCUUGCGCGAUUGAAUGAGCCGAUGUCGGAUUAGCUAGUUGGCGGGGUAAAGGCCCACCAAGGCGACGAUCCGUAGCAGGUCUGAGAGGAUGAUCAGCCACACUGGAACUGAGACACGGUCCAGACUCCUACGGGAGGCAGCAGUGGGGAAUAUUGGACAAUGGGCGCAAGCCUGACCCAGCCAUGCCGCGUGGGUGAAGAAGGCCUUCGGGUUGUAAAGCCCUUUUGUUGGGAAAGAAAAGCAGCAGGUGAAUACCCCGCUGUUCUGACGGUACCCAAAGAAUAAGCACCGGCUAACUUCGUG